rnacentral:rRNA from 1 species
UACGUAGGGUGCGAGCGUUGUCCGGAAUUAUUGGGCGUAAAGGGCUCGUAGGCGGUUUGUCGCGUCGGGAGUGAAAACUCAGGGCUUAACCCUGAGCCUGCUUCCGAUACGGGCAGACUAGAGGUAUGCAGGGGAGAACGGAAUUCCUGGUGUAGCGGUGAAAUGCGCAGAUAUCAGGAAGAACACCUAUGGCGAAAGCAGCUCUCUGGGACGGUACUGACGCUGAGACGCGAAAGCGUGGGGAGCGAACAGG